AUCUGGUGUUGUGGACAACAUGCACACAACUUCUUAAAUCUCUCCUAGUAUUCAUAUAAGCUUUCUCCACCAAGCUGCUUAAUCCCAUAAAUGUCUUUUCUAAUAGUU
rfam:Vigna angularis cultivar Jingnong 6 scaffold108_52, whole genome shotgun sequence.